rnacentral:sRNA from 1 species
GCUGGCCAGAAAUUGCAGUCGCCAUGCGGAAGCGGAAGUGUGGUUCAAACGCGCCCUGGAACUGUCCCCCUUGGAGCCCAGCGCUCACCAUUAUUACGCUGAGUUUCUGGAGCAACAGCAGCGAUCGCACGAAGCGUUGGGCUACC